AGACAGACCCUUUUUCUGUCGCCCAGGCUGGAGUGCAGUGGUGUGAUCUCUGCUCACUGCAACCUCCACCUCCUGAGUUCAAGCGAUUCUCCUGCCUCAGCCUCCCAAGUAGCCGGGACUACAGGCACGGGACACCACGCCUGGCUAAUUUUUUUGUAUUUUUUGUAGAGACAGGGUUUCGCCAUGUUGGCCAGACUGGUCUGAAACUCCUGACCUCAGGUGAUCUGCCCACCUCGGCCUCCCAAAGUGCUGGGAUUAAAGGCGUGAGCCACUGCGCCUGGGCGAGCAUUUUUUUUUAUUCCAGUGUUUCUCGUUAAUCUACCCCAUGGCGUUUUAUUUCAGGUUGUAUGUAUGCCAGAGAUGAAAAAAGGCAAAUGACAGAAGAGCAAGUAUAUGGAGAAAGAUAGGAGGGACUUGAGAAAACUUGGCAAUUUACUAAAAUGAAAUGGCAUUGUUUCCAUAUUUACCAAAAACAGACAAACAAACCUAAUCAUUCCUCUCAUUUUGAUCAGCUUUCAUGUAUAUUUUCUAGGCCUAAUCAAAAUCUUCUUUGGUGUCACAAAAUAAUGGAAGAGACAUGUAUUGGUUUAGGCUCCUGCAGCAGUAGACCCCAAUAUAAGGAAUAUUAGUUGUUUAUUUAGGAAAUUCAAGAAACAUAAGUAAAGGAGUAGGGAAGUGAGACAGGAAAUGGAAGGAUCUCUGAAAAAAUACACAUCAUCAAGUCCGUUCCCACAGAGGGAAACAGGAGCUCAGUCCCCAUUGUUGGGUUCUGGAAGACAGUGUGGAACAGACCCCAGAGUUAUCCCAACUGUGAGAUGAGGAAGCUGGGGUGCUUUUCACCAACUCUUCAUCCAUCACCUGCUUCCGGGGGUCAUUAACAAUCCACCACUCCCAGGUUAUUUAUGCUCAGGCCAGGCAUGUAACUGCAGCCAGAAAAUAGCCCUUGCCAAGACUCACAGGAAUUAAAAACCUUCAGGCAAGGAGCUACUGGUCUUUGUAAUAAUAAGCUUUGAGAGGCGGGUAUUCAGAGGCUAUGGGCACCAAUAACUUCCCUUAUGUGAGUCAUAAACACAAAGUUAAUUUUGUUUGCAUGUGUAUACAAGUAUUUUGAAUGAAUGCUUCUCUUUGUUUUGUGUGUUUGGAAAAUUUAAACAAAAUUAUUAUUGUUUUUGUAUUGGUAUUUAAACAUCUGAAUAUGUAACAUCAAAGAUGAUAUUAAAAAGUAUAAAGCAAAUUAUCACAAAAUCAGAUGUGCAGUUACAUGUUUACUUGAAAUUCUCUCUAGACUACAUUUGAAAUAGGAGCUUCCAUAGGGGGAAAUUUAAAUUUUUUUUACAAGUUGUUUAAUUAUAAUGUGCUUUAAAAACACUUUAGCAUAUCAUAAACCUUCAAAACAAAAUGAGUAAUCAUCUUCUGAGAUCCAUAGAAAAUGUUUCUUAAAUGUCACUUUCAAUUACCACUUCUGGAGCUAACUUGCAAAACAAUUGUGUUUCCACCAACUGAAAUAUGUUUUCACCAAAUUUAAGAUAAUCUGUGGUCAGUGUGAGCUUUGUCUUGAUUUAGGAGGAGGAAAGCAAAGUUCCAUUUAUGAAUACUUUGAAAAUUUUCAGAAAUUCUCCUAAAUUGUUUCAGCAACCAGGCCAAAAGAGAGGCCUGGAAUCCCAAGGUGAGAGGAAACUUUAAAAGUUACACUUAUGGCCAGGCACGGUGGCUCACACCGUAAUUCCAGCACUUUGGGAGACUGAAAUGGGUGGAUCACUUGAGGCCAGGAGUUCAGGACCAGCCUGGUCAACAUGGUGAAACCCCAUCUCUACUAAAAAUACAAAAAUUAGCCUGGUGUGGUGGUGCAUACCUGUAAUCCCAGCCACUUGGCAGGCUGAGACAUGAGAAUCACUUGCACCCAGGAGACAGAGGCUGCAGUGAGUGAGAUCAUCCCACUGCACUCCAACCUAGACAACAGAGUGACACUCUGUCUCAAAAAAAAAAAAAAAAAAAAAGUUUCACUUGUGCCUUGGGGUUGGCUGCCUGCUAUCAUAUUUUUGUUGUGUUCUUCUACCCCAAGCUCCAGUACCUCCCCUCACAGAAAUCACCUCUCCUACCAACCCCAAGGGAACCCAUUCCAUUUUUAUUAGAGAGUUCUUCUUUACAUGGCCUCAAGUCUUUUCAUCAAGAUUUACUGAUAGAAUAACAGUAAAUCCACAUUACUCCAGGUGUCUCUUUGCCCUUACCUAGCCUUUGUGUCUAUGCCAUUCUUCUCAAGGAAAUUGCCUUCCUUUAUCAGCUUUAAAAGUCCAUAUUUGGGAUCCCCUCUCCUGGAAACAUUCUCUGACUAUCCAGCCCAGAUAAUUUUUUUUCUCUGCUUUCUCAUUAUAACAUUCAUGAUCUGUGUCAUUCAUUCAUUCAUUCAUUUGCCCAAUAUUUCUUGAGUGCUUCCUAAGUUCAGGCACUGUUCUAGGUACUGGGGACAUAGGAGGAUAGAAGCCAGUCAAAUUUUGCACUCACUGAAACUUUACUUUAGUAGGUAAGAAUCUAUAGUUUAAAAAAAAAUUCACAUAUGAGGCCUGUGAAGCAAAUAAAGCAAUAAUGUGGUGGUUUUCAUGGACAUUAUGUCUUUCACUACCCGUCCCUCUUUUUGUUGUAAACUCUCUAAGGCAAGUAUAACCUCAUCUAUACAUUAGUAUUUAUUUACCACAAGGACCCAUAAGUAUUUAUUGAUAUAUCUUCCUAAGUAUGUGAUAAUAUUCUAAAUAGAUAGUAGAUUUAAUCAUUGGGAUUUAUGUGAAGUUGGAUUAAAUAGAUAACAUGAUAAUUACAUUUAGUAUUGCAUGGAAGGACACAUUUUCUCACUUAUAGAAGCCUAAACAAAUGUCACAAUGUUGAUAGAUUCCUUUAUAGGAUGUUAACUCUGAAGCUGUCGUGAAAAUGUGUGAACUAGUUUCACUUUCAACUUGAUCCUUUUGGAAUCAUGACAGAUUUUGCUAGCCCUUAAUUCUUCUGCAAUCUUUGUUGAUCCCUCCUAUUUCAAUCUCAUAAGACACUUAUCUCUCCUCCAGAAAGAUCUGAAGGGUUAAGUCACCUAUUUAUACCUAAUUACAGUGAGCCCUGUGUUGGAUUUUUAAGGGAUAAAAGGAAGUAUCAGAUCUCAGUUAACUUAUGUACUGUCUACAGUGCCUAACAAUGACACAGGAUGACUCAGUUAAGGAGAAAAAUACUCCAUUUAUCAGCACAGAAUUCUUCCCUUUAAGCUAUCAUAUGGUAGCUAACCUUGCCUAACCUUGCGAGUUUAACCUUGCUUUUUACGUGCAUGCACGCGUGUGUGUGUGUGUGUGUGUGUGUGUUACUAAUUUCUAACUGUACCAGCUCCUGAAUUAAUAUUUGGCAACAUCAAUAUUCCUUGUAUAAUGAAGAAGCAUGGUCCAAGAGACUUGGAUGUGACCUCUCUAAACAUCAACUUACAGCUGCAAAAUAAGGAAUAAGUUGUAAUUAUUCCUUAUUUGUAACAACUACCUUACAGUGUUGUUUUGAAGAUUAGAAGAGAAUAUAUAGAUGAAGUACCCAGUGGACAGUAGGUAUUGAAUAAAUGUUAGUUUCCUUCCACCUUCUCUGGCUUAUGUAACAAAAUUACUCAUUCUACUAGUCACUCAGACUUUAGUUAAUCAUUAGCUAAAGAGUAACAAUGCAGGAUUUUUUUUUUAAUAAAUUGGCUAGGAUUGGUUUUAUGCCUGGAUGGAAUAGGCACUUGCCAUUUCAUCACAAUUCAAAAUUCCUCCUGAAGGCCUGAAGGCCUGAAAUGUUUACCAUUGGAAACUAAUCCCACUGUAUGGUUACUAUUAUUUAUUAUAUCUAUUAACUUAUAAAAUAUUAAAAUAUAAAGUAAAUAUUACCCUACUGAUGCAUUAGCCACUCAACAUAAAUGAGUUUCUUGGAGAUUAAUAAAGCAGUACAUCAGUAUGUCCCAAACAAUGGCUAAAAGGAAACCUAGUAACCACCCCGACCCCAAACUUGUUUUGUUAGGCCAGUCAGAUUUUUUUUUUUCAUUUUGAAUUAGCAUCACGAUUGAAAGUGGAAAGAUCUCACAUAUAACUUCACAUUUCUCUGUACAAUUGAGAAACGUUGGCUAUGUUGGCUCUCUGAAUAGCAGCUACCUCCUUUCAAGGUUUGUAUUUACAAUAUUUCCCACCCCCAUGAGUCCUUAUUAUCCUGACACUGAGGACAAAUAUGAGUUGCUGUCCAUCAGCAUUCCAAAGCUGUUUUUUUUUUUGUUUUUUUUUUCUUACACUUAGCCUACUUCACUCCCUAACACCACCAGCCUGAUUUCUGAGGGGGCCUGAGGUAGGAGGAGGAGAAUGGAGAGCACUUUCUCUGAGAGCCGCCAUUUUAACAGAUCAUUAAAGACACGAUAUUCACAUGACGGUUGCUUACUCUCUGAUGAAAACUACAAAAACAGAAUACACAGGGAAGGUAAUCUGAAGGUGAUACCUUUUUCCUAUGAUCCUUGGCCUUAUAACCACUAAUCAAGCCUGAGGGCCGAAGUUCCUGCCUCAUCUCUGCCUGAUGUUACGAACUAGGCAGGCUAGCAGAGGCAACAGGCAACCUGGGCACCUGAAGAGCUACCUGGAUAACCUAGAAGAACAGUAGGAGGUUAAAGAUGAGGACAAGUCUAUCAAAACAAAAGCCUGUCAAGACCAGAAAGAGAAAGUCACACUUUUGACUUUACAGUUUGUGCUGGGCUGACACAAAGGCCUCAGUUAACACCAAAUACAACUUCCAUAGACUUCAAGUUUCCCUCAUAUUUUUCCUGGGUCACUAUUCCAGAGUUGAGAAACUGAACUACAUCUAAUAUUUUAUUAAAAUAAAAUUGAAGAUUAUUAGAAAAGUUUAUUAGUCAAUAGUAAAACGUUAUUUGGUUAGCUUUCUUAAACAAUGGCAUUUAUAGAUAUCUGAUUAUCCCAACAAAAAUCUUCAAAUGGUUCAUGGACGCUUUGUCAAGCUUUUGUGCCACCUGAGAGAAAAAAAGAUAAAUGGGGAGGUAUAAUGUUAAUUUUGUAGCCUUUGCUUAAUGUUUAUUUUUGAAAUGCCUAUCAUUUUCUAUCAGUAUCUGAAACUCCAUGGAUUUCUAUUAGCCUUCACCAAUAAUUACAUUUGAAAGCAUCCAGAAGAGACAAUCCUUACCACAGUCUCUUUUAAACUCUUAAUGGCUGUCACAAAAUUCUAUUUUUCAUUUUCUCUAAGAGCAUUCUAUUAAACUGUUCCUAGUUAUUAGCUUUCAUAAAGGCACACAGAAAAUGUUUCCUCUACAGCCACAAAUAUUCCUAAAGCAGAAUCAUAGUAAAACAGCUGUGAUAAUGUUUUAUUCAUUCCAGAAUCCUAAUGAUUGAACAAAAGAGAGACAGUCUUAAGAGUUAACAUCUAUUGAGUCCGUGACUGCGUGCAUUGUUCUUUCAAGUAUUUUACCUGCACUAUUUAAUGUAAUUCUCCCAGCCACUCUGAUUUCACUCAUUUUACAAUUGAGGAGACUGAGGCAUAGAAAACUAAAGCAAUUUGGCUGGAGUAAGGGCCAGGUUGGGACUUAUACCUUGGCGGUCUGCCUACAAGGUGUUCCUCACCACCAUCUGACACUGCUUUCUCUGUGUAGCCCAGAGUGUCAGCCUCAGUGCUUCAACUUGAGCUUUCAGGAUCUAUUUAAAGAUGGAAAAUAUAGUUACAUUAUGUCACCAUUUGAGAUGCAGAAAGACAGGGCCACCAUUUUGCACAAUUCUGAAAGCACAAUUCAUGCUGUGGUUUGUAAAAAUGGUACUCCCUAGAGUUGGGCAAUGGACAGCUCACACAGAGAUGCAGUGGCCCUGCUAAACUAAUGCCUUACAUAAAAGAGUUUUACUCUUCAUUCCCUUAAAUGAUUCUUAGUAACACUGGCUGACACACACACAAAACAGUUUCUAAGUAGGUCUGUCCGCAUACUAUGAUCACUGGUCAACAUUAAGUUUCCACAAUUAAUUUUACAUAAUCCAAAGACUGCCAAGCAGUUUAUCUGGGUAAACUAAACAUUCUGUAGUCAUUUAUUCUGCUUCCAGUCAUGCCCAGCAACAGGUUGAGAAGACAAAUGUUCUCAGAAAUGAUCUCCAAGGAGUUGGGAGCAGGCUGCUUAUACGUCUAAUUCACCAGAAUAGGUGAGCGUGGUCGUGGUGACCUUUUCAUACUGUUGCAGAGCUGAGUAUGAAGAGAUGACUCACAGUCCUCCAAUGCAACACAGGUGACCCUGCAGCCAGAUUUUGCCUUCAGUGGUAUGUGACUCCCAUGGGGUCAGGAGAGUAUCUCAGACAUUGAAAUUUGACCUAAUGGCCUACCUACCUGCACACGCACCCUGCCCACUUACAGAAGGGCAAGAACUCUGCAUUACUGAGGCCUUGUUAUUAUUAUAGUUCCUAUUUAGGUAAGAACGCAAUGGAGAAAAAAUGCAUUUGGUUAUUGGGCCUCUGUUUGAAUAUCCUGUGCUUUUUGCCAAACAAUGCAUUCUACAUAAUCUUAAAAAACAAAGUCCAUUUCAAAGAACAAAAAUAAUGACCAUAUCCACUGAGCAAUUGAGCAGAAUGGGAAUCGGAGUUUUAAACUCUGAUAUAUCUGUUUUCCUUAGGGCUGAAAUCUUCUUUUCAUGGUUCUAGUUUCUCUAAUUGAAAUAAGAACCUAACCCUGUUCAAAACUACAUCUCUGGGAAUGAGUGAAAAAUUAAUGAUCCUCCUAUUUUGUUGGAUCAUAAUAAUGACUCUCAUCCUGGUGGGGCCACCAGCAAUGCUAUUCUUCUCAGACUCUAUCUUAGUUCCUAAGCCACUCACCAGGUAUUUAAAAGAAUGAUUUAACACAACUAGAAUCAUUUAAAUAACUGUAUUUUUUAAGAAAGCCAUAUUAUUGCUUUAGUUUGGUCAUUCAUAUAUCCAAACCUUGGACUCAUCAUCUUGCAAUCUCAUGUGUUCAGUUAUUCCAGAGAAAACAUUAAGGAGAAUUGUAUUCUUCUUCCCAGCUAAAUUUUAGGUCCUCAAAGCUGGCAACCACAAUUUAUGCUUUCUAAAAAUCAUCUAUGAUACUAAGUAUGAGCUGGAUCAUGAAUAAAACCCUUGUAACAAUAAAUGCUUGAUGACUUACUUCAUCUCAUUAGCAAGGGAAGGUAACUCAUAAUUAUCAAGGUACUACAGGAAAUAGGGCACUAUCUGGAAAUGCUAAAUACAUCUCCUUGCAUGAAUCACUUCUUACCAGAAUUCCCUUUCUUUCCAGAUCCCACCUCCAGGGUUCUGUGGUCCAUACCAGGCACUACAUUCCUCAGGGGCUACAGCCUAUGAGCGUCUCAUGGGGCUAUGAAACCAUUUGAGACCUGGAAAAUGAAGUAAUUGAAUACAAACAGAAAACUGCAAAAUGAGGACUAACAUUUAAUUAAAUGUUCAAAGCAUAAGAUUAUGUCGACUUCAAUAAUUGUCAAAUGAGUAUUCUUAACAUUUUACUAAAUUAAAAAAACUUAUGUGCUGA
rnacentral:lncRNA from 1 species